CAUGUCCUCUCGCCCCGCCCGCACGACCUCGACCUCUCGCCCACUCCUCCUCUCCGUUCCUCCCGCAGCCGUUAGCCGCCGGAGACGCCCGCCAUGCCCGUCGCCGCGGGAGCCUCCCUUCACCACGGGAGCCGCCGCCAAGCCCGAGGGUUGCGCCCGAGCCACUGCCCUUCGCCGCGGGAGCCACCGCCGAGCCCAUCCAUCGCGCCCGAGCCACUGCCUGGCGUGGGCCAGGGUGCUGGCGACGCGAUGAAUCGUCCACGUCGGCCCCUCACCGAUCUGUGCCGGCUUUUGCAUCGCCAUGCCGCCGUCUUCAUCGACCUCUCACUGCGUAUUGUUAUGGGUGGCCGGCGAACAAACCCACCUACUACCAUAUUCGUCUCAAGAUUGAACGCACCUCACCCAUCCUUCGUUUCACAGGGUGAGCUCCAAGGUAGCGACACCGUGGGCGGCGGUGGCGGGGCUGGCCGCUGUUGGCAGCAGGAAUUCACCAUCGGCUCUCAAAUCCACCAUACUACGCUGCUGCACAAUCUCAACCAGGUUGAUCAAUGUAGCUAUACCUGGAACCAUUGAUGAGAGAGCAAUAAAUAAGAAAAGAGUUCUUAACCCAUGGGACAGGAAUGAAAACCAUAUGUUGUGCCUCAACUCUGCACAGGCCAUUGGAUGUACUGUGUCAACAUUGGCAGGCAUGAUUUAGUGGAAGGAAGGGUAUAUUUUGGUAUCGAAUACUCUUGUCAUUGCUAAAUGUUGUGCAUCCUUUGGGCUUCUUCAUUGUAUCCCAACAAAUAAACUAGCAUGAGUACUAUAUAAGCAACAGUUAUUAAAUACAGUUCUUUUGUUCGGCGGGCUAAUUGAGUUGUAGGACCAAGUAGAAUUUUACCAAGGGCACUUAAUUGGAGAUGGAAAGAACAGGUGCAUUGGAAGUAGAUUACACGAUGGGUAAAGAACAAUCCAGAGUUCAGACUUCAUGUGCACCUUUGUUGUUGCUAGAUGCUUACUUGUCAUGGGAAUGUUCAUGAUCCGCGAGCCAGGGCAUUCGGUACUAACCAGUGACCAAGAAAAGGUAACAGAUGGGAGCUCUUCUAAUCUCAUUUGUAAAUAUGUUGAACUAUUGAUAUUGUUUGGUCUGCAGAGUUGAAGGGGCGACACAUUAGGAGCACGAUAGCAUUUGAGGACUAGCCACAUGGUACCAACAAGCAGUUCGAGUUUAAUGGCUGGCAGACUCUACUCAGUAAGCGGCAUUUGUUUUUGUUUAAUGAACCUUUGUAACGGAGAGUUAUGUUUUUUUAGAAACUAACGGAGGUGCAAGUAUACGGCCAUGUGUACUCACUAGAAGGCUAAUGCUAAAGUCUGCAACCAAGCGAUUGUUGCAUCUACAUGUACACAUGGAAUGGGAAGCAGGACUGGAGGCAGUACGAGUCAUGGAAAUGAUGAUGAGGAUGACUACUAUCGCAAUGGGGGAUAUGAUAACUAUGGCGAGGGUGAUCUGUAUGGUGAUGAGCACUAUGAUCACUAUGGCGAUGGGGAAUAUGAUGACUGUGGAGAUGAGGAUGACUAUGGCUAUGGCGGCGGCAAUGGCGAUGGCGAUGAUGAUUGGCUAUAAAAGUCUAAUGAUCUUCAAGUCAUGCCAAAAUGUUGUGAUGUUAGAUAUUUGAAACACUUUAUUAUCUUAUGGACAAAUUUGUCUUAGUGGACAAUUUAUCUUAUGCAAAAUGUGACCUAUCUCAAUUACUAUUUUGUUCUGCAUUCGACAUUUGAUAAUUAUGGUUAAUGCAAUUUGGAUGCAACUCAA